rnacentral:misc_RNA from 1 species
CUAAGGAAACAAUUAUCAUCUUCAGUUUUGAGAGACUUAAGAAAGUUUUUCAUUGUCACUUGCUUGCAAAUUGUAUUUGCAACAUUUUAAUCUUUUUAAGAUUAAGGGCCUAUAGCUCAGUUGGUUAGAGCACACGCCUGAUAAGCGUGAGGUCGGUGGUUCAAGUCCAUUUAGGCCCACCAUAACCACAAAUAGGCAAAAUCUUAAAAAAGCUCUUUGAAAAGUAGAUAAACGAAGGUUAAAACAUC